AGCGUCCUACGGGAGGCAGCAGUGGGGAAUAUUGCGCAAUGGGCGAAAGCCUGACGCAGCGACGCCGCGUGAGGGAUGAAGGUCUUCGGAUCGUAAACCUCUGUCAGCAGGGAAGAACGGUCACUGUGCAAAUCAGCAGUGAAUUGACGGUACCUGCAAAGGAAGCACCGGCUAACUCCGUGCCAGCAGCCGCGGUAAUACGGAGGGUGCGAGCGUUAAUCGGAAUUACUGGGCGAAAAGCGAUCGUAGGGGGUAUGUCAAGUCAAGGGUGAAAUCCCCGCGCUCAACGUGGGAACUGUCUUUGA
rnacentral:rRNA from 1 species